rnacentral:rRNA from 1 species
GUUUGAUCCUGGCUCAGGAUGAACGCUGGCGGCGUGCCUAAUACAUGCAAGUCGAGCGAAUGGAUUAAGAGCUUGCUCUUAUGAAGUUAGCGGCGGACGGGUGAGUAACACGUGGGCAACCUGCCCAUAAGACUGGGAUAACUCCGGGAAACCGGGGCUAAUACCGGAUAACAUUUUGAACCGCAUGGUUCGAAAUUGAAAGGCGGCUUCGGCUGUCACUUAUGGAUGGACCCGCGUCGCAUUAGCUAGUUGGUGAGGUAACGGCUCACCAAGGCAACGAUGCGUAGCCGACCUGAGAGGGUGAUCGGCCACACUGGGACUGAGACACGGCCCAGACUCCUACGGGAGGCAGCAGUAGGGAAUCUUCCGCAAUGGACGAAAGUC